rnacentral:lncRNA from 1 species
ACAUCGCUCCUUGCUUCAAGUGCAUUAUAUCGAGCAUUACUUUGGACCAUGACAGCAGCCAAAGAGGGCUCAUCUUAUGUUGGAGGAGGUGGUGCGUAAGUAUCCCAGGAUUGACCUUCUUGACCUCUUUUUCUUCUAAGUUCGGCGUUGAUUGAGACCAAACUUCUUUACCUGCAAUAAUUGUUAAUGUAUGAGGCAUUUAUUUGAGAUUUUUGGCCCAUAACCUCAUUGUAGGGCCCUGCGACUUUUUGGUACUAGCAUAAAUCCAUAGCGAAGGAGGGCAAGAUCAUGGUCAAUGCCCUUUUCUUGAUGCUUUCAGCAAUAGCAUUAGACAUUAUGGUAGAGACAGCAAUUGAAUCAUCAUUAUACAUAGAGUGGACCAACUUUGCCUGAGGCAUUGGCAAGCUAGACACAUGAGAUGCUGGCCAAAUAUUAGACAAGAUAAAGGUGGUUAUAUUUUGAGUCAAUUGACUCAUGCAAAAUUUAAGAAUUUGACCUUUUUUCUUGUAGUCGCUUUCUUUUCAGGUUCUAGGCCUUGGCUGCAUAGUUGAGUUCUCACCUCCAUUUUGUUAUGUCCACUUUCCCUUCCUUCCUUACUUGUCAAUAUUCUCUCUUGGUAUUUACUCAAAUCACCAUAGGCUUUGGGUUGACUUACCCAAGGAGUGCCUAAGUAUUCAUUGAUGAUGUAUUUAUCAUAGAAUACUUGUACACCAUUAAUCCAAGUGUACAGGUUUUGUUGAGCUUCUUUGGGAGACAAAAGUAUUAGCAUAAAAUUGCCUCACAACAUCCAUUGAAAAGGAUUUUGUGGGUUGAGACAAUUUUUGACAACGGUAAUUGACAAUCAAGAACAUAAAUUGUGGGAAUUCAUGUUCUUUAACAAAACCGUACCUUCUAAAGUUAACUCUUCAUAUUUUGCCUUCAUGAGUCGUGACUUGUGUUGGUUGCCCGUCAAGACAUUCUCUCAUUGCUCAUUGUCACUACCCGAGUUGGUAACUACAUUAUUGCCUCUUCCUGAUCUAGUCUUUUGACCCCCACAAAAUUUCACCAUUUUCAAUAUCCAACAUUAUGGGUUAGCUUAGCAAGAUUGGUGCAAAAAUCAAUGUUUACAAUCAUGGCAAGAAAUUUGCAAUCAUGGAAAGGAAUUCCAAUCAUGGCAAGAAAUUUAACAUGUUGUAAGCUUGUAACUUGUUCACAGUUUUGCUUAGCUUUUUGCCUUAAAAAGAGAACUUUCAUAUGUUCUUUUCCUUAGAUGAAUCAAACAUCAAUAUCAAGCAUCUGAUUUAUACACAAAUUCAUGUUCAAUGCAUGUCAAGCUAAGUAAAAAUGUCAAACACCUUCUCUACAUUAAUUUCGGUUUAAUUCAUGUACAUGGUUGUUUUCCCUUGUCAGAACAACACUACUUUAUUUUUUCAAACAGAAGUUAAUGGAUGUUUAAACACUUGACAAAACAUAAAGUGUAUAGCAAAGUGGUAUGGCAAGUAUACAAGCAAUAUUCAAACCAAAAUAUGUAUGUUUGCAACAACUAGUCAAAAAAAUUCAUGUGUUGAGUAAAAAUUUGUUUUUGAACUUGAAUGCCUCAAACUCAUACUUGAACUUGGUCCAGAAUUUCUAUACACAUUUCAAGUUCAAAUAUGAUUAGUAAAUGAAUAAAUUUUCAAGAAUAUGCUUUUGUUCAAGAUUUGAAAAUCAAAUUUUCAAUUUUUCUGGUUUUAGAACUUGUAUUUGGGGUUUUUUUAAGAAUGUUUUUUCUAAAAAUAAUUCCCAAAUGCAUGAAGUUUUAAGUUCAUAUGUUCAUGUGAAUGAAGAAAGAAUGAAGAAAUUUGAGAAAAUGAAUACUUACAUGAUGCUUGUAGUGAGUUGGUGAGGACAUGUUUUGAGAAAAAUGAGUGUGUGAAGAAAAAAGUGUUUUGGCCUAUAGUGAGAGUGGAUUUCCGCUUUAAGGAGUGUAUAGGGAUGUGUGAGGAUAAGGGAAAUCCACUUUAGGAUGUGGGUUAGAUUCCCCUGGGGAAUCCUAGGCUGACUCAACACGCUCAUCACACGGGUACCCGUAAAUAUUGUGGGUUUGGGCAUGGGAAAACACUACCCGUGUCCACCCGCGCCCAUUGCCAUCCCUACUCACCAGUUAAAAUACCCCGCCUAGUGUGUUGGCCUGUCUUGGCUCAUCAACUUGCCUUUGGCGCAUCAAGCUUGGCACAGGGCCCUGUGGCCCAUAAUCUUGGUGCAACAGAUUUCUAUCUUGGUGCACUAGGCUUGCACAUCACUUUGGUGCUUGGCCUUGGCCUUCGCUCAUCAGUCUUGGCCUUGGUGCACCAUUUUGGAAGAGAUGCCCAUUGGUUGGAGCAUCAAUAUUUUGGCUUGGCGCAUCUCUUAGCACCUUGUGCAUUAUUUUUGGUGCAUCACACACUCCUUUGGUCCAAUCAUGGCCUUGGCAAAAUUUUAGUACAAUACCUCAAAAAUCAUUUUUUUAAAAUUUUCUCACAAGAUAAAAUAAAAUAAAUAGAAAAUGGAAAAUUAUAGAAAAAGGUAAAGCAUACAAUAUUGGAUUGCCUCUCAGCCAACACUUUUUUUUUUGUCAAUAGCUUGAUGCAUAUUCUUUUUUAGCAACCCCUAUUCGUGAACAUAUUUUCCCUUCAGGAUUUGCUUAUGCAAGUUAUUUUAGUGUUCUAUCCACCAUAUCUCAUUUCUUAACUAGCCUUCCUGGACCUAGGCAAAGUUAGAUGAUUUUCAAACCAUGUUUAAUACACUACCCCUUCAAUUUAAUAUUUUGAAAAUGCUCUUACACCACACUUUUAUGUUUUUUGGUGCUGGCUGUGUUGUUGAUUCUGUAUUAUCAUCUUGUCCAAUGUGAGUUUGAGAAGGCUUAGAUGUAGGAUUAAAAGUACUUUCCACAUUUACUUGAUAUGAACUUCCUUGUGAAACGUGUUAAGUACUAGGCACAUUCACAUUUGUUGUAUUCACUAGAUCCAUUCUACCUAACAAAACAAACACAAUACAAUAUAAAAAUUAUUGUUGUAGUUUUUAUAUUGUAUUUAAGAAAAACAACACAAUAUAAGAAACACAUCACAAUAUCAACACCACAAUGGAUUGAUAUAUACAUUCGUUAACCAUCAUACUUAAAGCAACUCACUCUAGUCCUUAGAACUUUAACUCAGUUACUCUUCACAAAUUAAUUUAGUUAUAUGUUAUUCAUUCAGAAUGUUUCCUAAUUAUUAGAAUUAGCAUAUGUAAUAUUAUAAUAGUUUAGAAUGGUAGAGAGUUAGUCACAAAAAAAUGGAUAUGGUCAAAGCCUCCAAUUUAGAAACAAAUCAAACCAUGCAUGUGAAGUCUUAAAACUGCAUAAUCACAUAUUUGACGCAUGACCAUUAGUCCAUUACCCACUGCAUCAAAAAAAGAACACAGACAAGUGUGUGUUAUGUAUAAUUGUUUUAUGUAUUUAUUUUUUUUUGUAGUAUUUGUGUUAGUAUCUUCUUUUCUUCACCGAGAAAUACUCAUAAACAUUAUCUUAUUGCUCAAUACACUCUUCUCCUCUCUCCACUUUCUCUGUCUUCUACCUCACUUCAUUAAUAAAUCCCCAAAAUUCAAAUCACUCUUUUACAUCCAAAGUUAUUCUCUUUUCUCAACUGGGUCAAACGUGACUUCUCUACUGAGAAGAACAAGCCAAGCAGCAACACAAGUUUUAACAUACGAUUGUUUAAGCAUUAAAUUAUAUUUUUGGGCAAGAUGUGCUUAACAAUCGUCAUCUUAGCAAGGAACAUAGAAUAAUUGAAAUUAAUCAGAUUUUUGGGCAAGAUGAAGAAGAGUGCAGAGACCAAAGAGGAAGAAAUGAAAUAUGAAAAUUCAUUGUUCUUUCCUCUCGAAGACGAAGAAGUAAGGCUACCGGGGAAGAGGAAGACGAAGAAGAAAUGAAGAAGAUGAUCGUUUCUCUUGAAGACGGCUCACCGUUCCUCUUUGGUCUUCGUUCGAAGAUGGAUGUAGUUUCUAAUUCUCAACAAAAACCAUAAAAUUAAUAUUGGGUAAAAUUCGAAAGCCAGUGCAAUGGGUUUAAUGGCUUAAACCCAUUAAAUUAGGGUUGGCUUUAAGCAAAUACCAACGAGUUCAGUUUUUAUUGUCAACCAUGCAAAACACACAACUAAACAAUCAAACAGAAAUUAAUGUCUAAACUAAACAAUCCACAAUACAAACCGUAAAAUAUUCAAAUAUUCAAAAGGUUGGUGGAUGGAUCACUAGUCUUCGUUCUUCAUCAUUAAAAUACAUCUCUUUGUCCUCAUUGGCAUGGGUGCCACUGCCCCCUUCACCACCUUGUGGUCUGUCCCAGGCCACGAAGUCCAGGCAUCAAAGCCAUCAAAAGAUCCUCCACUGAAGUGAGGGUCUGCUUCAAAGUCAUUAUAGAGGCCUUGGUACACUUCCCGAAUGCCUCGGUAACAUGGCUCAAUCUUUUGUUCUUGCACAUCGCUCCUUGCUUCAAGUGCAUUAUAUCGAGCAUUACUUUGGACCAUGACAGCAGCCAAAGAGGGCUCAUCUUAUGUUGGAGGAGGUGGUGCGUAAGUAUCCCAGGAUUGACCUUCUUGACCUCUUUUUCUUCUAAGUUCGGCGUUGAUUGAGACCAAACUUCUUUACCUGCAAUAAUUGUUAAUGUAUGAGGCAUUUAUUUGAGAUUUUUGGCCCAUAACCUCAUUGUAGGGCCCUGCGACUUUUUGGUACUAGCAUAAAUCCAUAGCGAAGGAGGGCAAGAUCAUGGUCAAUGCCCUUUUCUUGAUGCUUUCAGCAAUAGCAUUAGACAUUAUGGUAGAGACAGCAAUUGAAUCAUCAUUAUACAUAGAGUGGACCAACUUUGCCUGAGGCAUUGGCAAGCUAGACACAUGAGAUGCUGGCCAAAUAUUAGACAAGAUAAAGGUGGUUAUAUUUUGAGUCAAUUGACUCAUGCAAAAUUUAAGAAUUUGACCUUUUUUCUUGUAGUCGCUUUCUUUUCAGGUUCUAGGCCUUGGCUGCAUAGUUGAGUUCUCACCUCCAUUUUGUUAUGUCCACUUUCCCUUCCUUCCUUACU